AGAGAGAGACAUGCGCGCAUAUCAAUAAGCGGAGGAAAAGAGACUAACAAGGAUUCCCUUAGUAACGGCGAGUGAAGCGGGAAGAGCUCAAAUUUGAAAUCUUCAAGGUUUUACCUUGACGAAUUGUAGUUUAAAGAAGUGUUUUCUGCUGAAGUUUUGGUAAAAGUUCUUUGGAAUAGGACAUCAUAGAGGGUGAGAAUCCCGUAUUUGACCAUUAUUUUCAGCUUUGUGAUACACUUUCAAAGAGUCGGAUUGUUUGGGAAUGCAGUCCAAAAUGGGUGGUAAACUUCAUCUAAAGCUAAAUAUUGGCGAGAGACCGAUAGCGAACAAGUACCGUGAGGGAAAGAUGAAAAGAACUUUGAAAAGAGAGUUAAACAGUACGUGAAAUUGUCAAAAGGGAAGCGUUUGACACCAGUGUUGUUUUCUCGAAAAUCAAUUAAAAAUGGCUCGAUUUUGUAUUGCUGAGACCUUAAAAGCUCACUGUACAUUUUUCGUGUCUUUUUUAAUGCACUUUUCGUUUAACAAGUCAACAUCAGUUUCUUUUGUUGUAAAAGGGUCAUUGGAAGGUGGCUUUCUUUUCGGAGAAAGUGUUUAUAGCCUUUGGCCUCUGCAAUCGAAGAGACUGAGGUCUGCAGCGUAGACUCUUCGGGGUUAGAUACAUUUGUGCUAAGUUAUAGCUUUUUAUAGACAACUUGUUGACUAUAAUUAGUCUUGUAGCUUACUCGCUUAUGCUAUUUUACCUACGCUUAGGAUGUUGAAGAUGUAGCACAUCAU
rnacentral:rRNA from 1 species